rnacentral:rRNA from 1 species
UACGUAGGGUGCGAGCGUUAAUCGGAAUUACUGGGCGUAAAGCGUGCGUAGGCGGUUCGCUGUGUCCGAUGUGAAAGCCCCGGGCUUAACCUGGGAAUGGCAUUGGAAACUGGCGGGCUUGAGUGCGGCAGAGGGGGGUGGAAUUCCGCGUGUAGCAGUGAAAUGCGUAGAGAUGCGGAGGAACACCGAUGGCGAAGGCAGCCCCCUGGGUCGACACUGACGCUCAGGCACGAAAGCAUGGGUAGCGAAAGGG